CCUACGGGUGGCAGCAGUCGAGAAUCAUUCACAAUGGGGGAAACCCUGAUGGUGCGACGCCGCGUGGGGGAAUGAAGGUCUUCGGAUUGUAAACCCCUGUCAUGUGGGAGCAAAUUAAAAAGAUAGUACCACAAGAGGAAGAGACGGCUAACUCGGUGCCAGCAGCCGCGGUAAUACAGAGGUCUCAAGCGUUGUUCGGAAUCACUGGGCGUAAGGCGUGCGUAGGCUGUUUCGUAAGUCGUGUGUGAAAGGCGCGGGCUCAACCCGCGGACGGCACAUGAUACUGCGAGACUAGAGUAAUGGAGGGGGAACCGGAAUUCUCGGUGUAGCAGUGAAAUGCGUAGAUAUCGAGAGGAACACUCGUGGCGAAGGCGGGUUCCUGGACAUUAACUGACGCUGAGGCACGAAGGCCAGGGGAGCGAAAGGGAUUAGAUACCCCAGUAGUA
rnacentral:rRNA from 1 species